rnacentral:lncRNA from 1 species
UUAUUAGAUUGGAGUAAAUUGGUAGUCGUCCAGCUUAAAUUUAGUGUCUAAACGCCUGAGCGAGGCUUAGAUGACAACAUAAUGUCUUUAGAGGUGGGCCUUACUUAGGCAAUUGGACUAAGAACGUUAACGUGAUUAGGCACUUUGCCUCUAACAACUAUGAUUCUAAGGAAUCAACAUAACCAUGGAAUAAUUAAUAAUAGUUUUUUCUGCAAAUUCUGCUUUUGGAAAAAGAAGACUGCCCCUUUUUUGCUUUGCUAGGUAAGGUAUACGAAGAAAAAAAGUCUAUUUGACAUUCUUGACAAUAGUUACAAUGAAACUAAAUUUCGUUUUCAUUUUUCAAACUUUAGCUUGUGUAUAAAUAUAACAGGUCAUUCCUAGAUCUAUGCGAAUUACUAUUCGAUUUAGAUUCGAUUUGGGUUGGUGGGGUUUUAACGGGACUUAUGUCAUGAUUUUGACUUCAAAAAUUUACCCGGAUUAGGUAUACCAACGAAAAAGAGUAUCACUAACUCUUUGCUAGGAAAAAAGAGCCAAAUUCAUAUGUAAUUCACCUAUGAAGAUUAAUGAGAAACGUAUACACUUUUAAAAAAAAUAUGAUAAUUAUUUUACAAAAUUAAUUUUAAAAAUUAAACCCAAUUUGUGGAAGUGGCGUCUUUAGUAACUUUUUUUCAAUGCUUAAAUAAUAAUAAUAAUAAAAUAAUUAUUAAUUUAUUAUUAUUAUUAUUAUUAUUAUUAUUAUUAUUAUUAUUAGGGUACGUAUGCUUCAUGUGUCAUUUUAGUCUUUCCAGUGUUCAAUUAAAUGGUCCCUAACUCUAAUGACGUUUAAAUUUAUUAACGGAAACGGGAACAAUUUUGGUAAAAAUUUUUGAGAAUACAAAUGACAUAUUUUGGGGACCAUUUGUGUACUCAACCACUGUAUACAUUCUUUUUAAAUUUUUGUAAUUGUAAACUGAUAAAAUUGAGAUAUAAGUAAAAAAAAACUCUAAUUUUUAGGAAAACAGGACCUCAAGAUCAUUUGAAGGAAAAAUCUUUUGGUAAAAUCAUUUUAUUUUCACUUGUGUUUGUGUGUGUAUAUAUACACAUAUAUAAGUUCAUUUUUAACUUGUUAAAAUGUCCUAUAUCACCUAGUUCUGACUCUUCUAUGCUAUUUAUAGGUUCAUAUUUUCCUCUCCUUAAUACCUGAUUUUUAAUAAAAAGGAUGAGUUGAGCUUGACAAGUGGCAUCAGAGUAAUGUUGGGUCCGUCGUCAAAAGUUGGGUCAGUUGUCAAGUGUGCCAAAUUUUCGGCUGCUGUGUGUCCAUCAUAGAUGUGUAAUAACCCGAUUUUAUAUUUGGAGUUAAUUGAAAGUUCAUAACUUUGAGAUAAAAUUAAAGAAGUAUUCAGUGGAGGGGGCUGAAGUUUGAUUUUUCCUCCACGCAUUAUUGAUUUUGGUCGAAGAGAUAUAAAGCGUAAGGAAAGAGAAAUAUAAAAGUAAUAGAAAAUAGAAAGAAAAAAAAAGAAUAGAAAAGAAAGGAAUGUGAGAUGAUGUUGAAAUGAUUGGUUGGUAGUUUUUUAAUUUCAAGGAAGAGGGGAGAAUGGAAGACCGAGAGAGAAAAGAGCCGCACUUAGAGUAGAGGUCGAAAAGAAUAGAGAGAGAACAAUAGCAACUGAUGCGCAGAAGAAACAUGAGAGAUGAGAGAAAUUAUUUAGUGUAGUUUAGCAUUGAUUUAUGAAAAUAUGAGUGUAUAUCAAUGAAAUAUGAGGUCAGAUUUAAGGUGAAAUUUCAUAUGUUGUUCAUGGAUCCAGAUAACAUAUCCAAUGGUGGGAAUUUGCAGGUAAACAGGUAUGUAAUACAUAUGCUUUCCAAUUCCUCACCGGAGUUAUUUUCUCAUCUCUGAUUUUGUAUUCCUCAUUGAGCAUUUUGAAAACUUUGAAUUCGUGGUAUUUUAUUGGAAUCUGAUCUUAAUGAUAUAAUUAUUUGUGGCUAAAUGCUAUGGAAAUUGAUUGAUACAAACCCUGACUGAGUGGAUCCGCCAAUAGUCCCCCUUCAAGGACCGACAAAAGCCGAGAGCUUAGGAGACGUGGGAUGAGGCCGAUCCCUAGUGUGAUUUAUCAAAGAACGACCUAUUACGAGGUCUUUGAUGAAAUAUUGAUUCGUUGUGCUACUCUGACAUUUAUUGUUUGAGCAUUAUUUAUUCGUCUGAGCAUAUUCUUGUCGUAUUGUAGACUUCCAACUGUUUAAAAUGAUUUUUCAGGCGAGAACGUGGGAGUUUUCGGAUAGUACGAUGAUGGGUCGGAAUGAACUACUGAAGAUUUUGAUCUUUUUUAUGUAUUAAGUACUUUGGAGAUAUUAUAAAGAAUAAAUAUUUGGAGACUAUUGAAGAUUUGAGGACAAUAUGCUCUGAUUGUAUUUGGGAAAAUACAGGGAAGGAAAUUAGGGUAAAUAAUCAACGGCACCUGGAGGGUCCGGGUCGUCACAUGAUGUGUUAAAAUAUUCCAUAUUGCCCAGUUUUGACCCCUUU